rnacentral:lncRNA from 1 species
UUUUUUUUUUUUUUUUUCUCAGAGCCCUUACUGCAAAGUCUUCUGGGAUCAGAAGAGCCCUUAUCAAUCAUUCAGCCUCCACACUGUAGAACUCUUAGUCUCAGAUCCCAGAAUUACUGAACCUUCUAGGAAACAUAGCAGACAGCCAAAUCAAAUGCCCUCAUUUUUCAGCUGAUACACUGCAGUCAUGUAGACAAAAAGGCUGAUCCCAUCACAACAGUGACAGAGAUCCCGGAGUCCACUUUUUUCCCAGGCAGAGCCCUCAGCCUUAGGUCACCAGCCUCCAUCACCACCAAUAUCAUUCUAGUGACUAAAUGUACUUUAUCACUGGGAUGUUCUUACACAGAGCUAAACUAAGUUAUCUAGGAUCAAGUUCAAUGUCAUUUCUUCUCAUUCAAUCCUCAAGUGGAGAGAGCAAAAUGCUGGCUGCCUUCUCUUAAAAAAAUCUAUAUACCAAAUGAUGUUUUUUUCAUAGGACUUCAGAUAAGAAGAAAUCUCAAGAGAUUAUCUUAUCUACCUUGCAACUGGGCAUUACUAAACAGAGAACAAAACAGCUAGAAACCUCCUCCAUAACUACGGAUUUCCAAGAAAGGCAAUGUUUUGGCAAAUUUAGGACACAGAAGUGUUUGAGCUCAUUUACCAAUAAAUGUAGGCAAAAUAUAAUCUCCCUAUGCAAGUAAGAAAUACUAUGGGGAGUUCCCAUCGUGGCGCAUGGUUAAUGAAUCCGACUAGGAACCAUGAGCCACAAUAGGCACUCCAACUAUUACAUUUAAAAUAUGGUGUUUACUUUUUGCGGGAUUUUGUGUGUGUGUGAUUUUUCCACAAAAGAGAUCAUUGUAACAAAGCAGAUGACAGAUUUAAUUUUAUCAUCAACUUUCUGCUAUAUUCUUUGAUAAGAUUAUCCAGAACACAUGAAGACUGUCCAAUAUGUAUUUGUUCAUUCACGAAAAAAAAGUUUGUGAACUGAUUUCUGCUCUCUUCCUCUCCAGAGAACUGAUUGCAUUUUUCCUCUUUCUCUAACAUGUAUAGAGUACCUGUUGCCAUGGCAAUCACUGAUUUAGCACAACAUGUUUUUUCCUCCUUCUUUUAAAAAAUUAGUUUCCAUUCCUGCCAAGAAGGAACAUAUUAAUCUACCCAUUAUGCUAGCUUAGGGAAGUUGAAAGCCAUACAAGUUGUCAUUUACACAGAUUCCCAGAAAGUCGGUUGUUAGUAUCUUUUGUGCCAAGAACUCUCCCCUUGUCCCAGAGAGGAAAUGGGACACUGAAAUGAAAGAGUCUGUAGCUAAGGAGGUAGCAUCUCUCUUCUUUUCCACAAAGUUUCCCUGCAGGGUACGGAACCUCAAACUCCCAAACAUCUUGUCUGCCUAAACUCUCUUACUGGAUAAAGCUUUAACAGACCACUGCUGUCCAGAAAACAGGGAUUAAAUAGACAACACUUUUUAAGACAAAAAUGUACUUUAGUCUACUUACUUCGGCAAUAAAGCCAAAAUAAUAACAACAAUGAAAACAAUUAAAAAACAAUAAAAAAAAAUCCUUUGAGGUGACUAAUAUAAGAAGUAGGAAACCCUUGUUGAAGAAACCAAAAUCAACUGUUCCAUUCUUGAUGAAACAACAAGUCCUGCCUGAGUCUCCUGAUGGACUAAAUUCUUUCUAGUAUUAGGUAACUCAGAUAUUAAAUCUGAUCUAGCCUUGCUAUUCAGACCUCAAAAUGCCUAUAAACAUACCUCUCGAGAACUAUGUCCAGGCUUGUCUUAGGACAAUGGUCUGCGCUAGCUUGGAUUUUUAUAACUGACAUUCCAAUCUGGGAAGGCUAGAUUCUUCCCAGUUUCUCAAGUCAAAUCCACUGGCUUUCCUGGCUGUGGGGCUCCAUAAAUCUGCCUACCCGCUAAUGGGAAAGGCCACAUACUUGGGUCAGAGCACUGAAGUCAGGAACAGAGGUUGACUUUCUGACCUAUUUACUGCUCCCCAAAAUUUCUGACCUAUUUACUGCUCUCAGGGAAGAAAGACAGUGUCAGGAAGAGACACAAAAGGGGAACUGAAGGCUUUUCCAUUUUCAGAAAUGUCUGCUUAUUAUCAGAGUAAUGAAAGCUCAAAAUUAAGACAUGGGAAAGGAGAGAUUAGAGAUGGGAAGUUAAAGCCAUUCCUUAUCCAAAGCUUUACAGAACUGGAUCACGGCUACCUAAAAGCCUCAAAGCAUUAACGGCCUGCUGUAAAGGAGAGAAGGUGAGAGAGAGAAUCAUUCGUUUUCACUAAUAGCUUGCAUGAAGAAUGAACACACACUUUUUAAACAGACCCUUAAAACGGUCCUUGAAACUGACUCUUAAAUACUUUUAAAAUUCAGCAUAUUUACUAUUAUUUUCCACUAGGAGAAAAAAAAAAAAAAAAAAAAAAAAAGACCUGGCCAUGCAUUUCCUUUUAACAUCAUGGAAGUGGGUAAGGGCUUAAACAGAAGAAAGAUAUUACUUCCUGAAACCUUGGAUGUUCUGCUGAAAACACCCUUAAAGGAAUGCAUCUGCUAAAAAGCAAAAACAUCUGAUAAAAUGCUUUUAAAGAAAUUGGUUCCUAAAGAAUAAUGUGAGAAAUAUGUCACUGGGAGUGUUCAAUUGCACCAAGACCAUUCUUCUGCUUUAGAUCCUCAGCUCACAGACAGAAAGUAUUGAUUAAUUAGCAGCAAUUUGAAAGGCAUCACCUUUUCCGUAGAUGUCAGUUGUUCACUCAACUGUGGAUCUCAAAGGUGACAUGAAUCCAUGGAUGGUUUACAAACCACUUACAGCCCAGAUUUUAAUUCUGCUGCCAAUAAUAAUGAUAAUAAAAGUAAAAAUACCACCAUUCUAUUCUAAUACUUAAUACAAAUGUAAGAUCAUUAGAAAACCAUGAUAGAAAUUUGAAAGUAAUGUAUCCCAAAAUAAGACUGCAACAAAAGAUAACAGACAAUACAACAGCUUUUUCAAUUAACUACACAGCCAGGAAAAAAUAAUUGAAAAUGAAAAAGUAUGAUCAGAAAUACCUGAUUAACUCAUUAAUAUUUUCUGGAAUCUAAUGCUCCAUUAAAAAGAGGGGAAAAAAAUGUUACUGCUGUAAAAGGCUAUUCUCAGAGUUCCCACCAUGGCUCAGUGGAAACAAAUCUGACUGGCAUCCAUGAGGACACAGGUUUGAUCCAGGGCCUCACUCAGUGGGUUAAGGAUCGACUGUU